UACGUAGGUGGCAGGCGUUGUCCGGAAUUACUGGGCGUAAAGCGUGCGUAGCCGGUUAUGUAAGUCAGAUGUGAAAGCCCCGGGCUCAACCUGGGAAUUGCAUUUGAGACUGCAUAGCUAGGGUGCGGAAGAGGGAAGCGGAAUUUCCGGUGUAGCGGUGAAAUGCGUAGAUAUCGGAAGGAACACCAGUGGCGAAAGCGGCUUCCUGGUCCAGCACCGACGUUCAGGCACGAAAGCGUGGGGAGCAAACAGG
rnacentral:rRNA from 1 species